rnacentral:tRNA from 1 species
GAGGGUAUAGCUCAGUGGUAGAGUGCCUGCUUAGCAUGCAUGAGGUGCUGGGUUCAAUCCCCAGUACCUCCA